UGAAUCAGGUAUAUGCGCGUGAAAUAAUAUAUAUUUAUUUAUUUCCAACACCACUAUACCUGUGCAGUAGAGUUACUCCCCUUUCCGCGGAAUUAUUACAUUGUUGUUACGGUGAAUUCGGGAGCGAUCUUUUGAGCAGUUUUACGGAUAUCGGUACGAUAAACACAGUAUUUGUUUGGCAGGAAGAGAAAUUGUCUCAUCUGGUAUCGAUGCAGAGAACAUGACUGACAAAGAUCUAUUUGACAGUGAUUAUGAUGGGGGUUCACAAAUACAUGAGCACAGUUACACUGUGAAUUCCUGGUGCUGCCAUUCCUAAUCAACCGACAUAUCAGAAUUCUGGAUAAGAAUUCAGAUUACUGGCUGCAUAUUCAACCCUAAGUGUUUUUCCUGUUCAAUUUAACUGCUAG